CUCUGACAUCUUGAAGACGAUUGGGGAAGCGCGUCCCGGAAGCCGCCCGCCGCCAUCUUGGGUAAACGGUUCCCUGUGCAUUGUCUGAUGUGAAAGGAAAGAAGUAGGCUUUCAGCAAGCCUCUUGUCCGGAGACGAUCUACGGGGGCCGCCUCCAGAGGAUUCUGGAGCCGCCAUCUUGGCAAAGGAAGAGAUACUCGCCACCUCGGAAAAGAAGAGGGAACCAACCGUAUGCCAACGUAGAACCCUCAGCCAGAAGAAUUUUUAUGAAGGGCGCUGAGCAACUCCAUGUUAACAAAACCCCCUUCUGGACCCA
rnacentral:lncRNA from 1 species